UAUAUAGAGUAGGAGUUGGGUGGAAAGUCUAUUUUUCCUAGAAAGUCUGGGAAGGAAUAAGAAUUGGACAUGUGUCAUUGAGGGAUUUUAAGUAGAAGGGCUAUCAUGUAAUUUCACAUUUUAAUUUUAUUUUUGGAAUGUAUCUUCAUUAACUAAAAUUUGCAUGAUAUCUAAUUGUAACCGAUUUUUGUCCCUGAUUUUCGGAAUUAUUGUUGUUUUUGAAUCUAAAUCUCUUCCAAAUAUCACGAAAUGUAUUUAUCUGGAAAACUAUCAGCAGGUCUUGGUGAUGUGUUUUACCAGUCAGAGAGGUUGAAGUCAGUGUGUUUUAACACACUGAAGUCAAUAUGUAGUCAGGUUGUGUUUUAACAGUUCUUUUGCAUUUUAACACUCUGAAUGUGUUUUAACACUCUGAAGUCAGAGAGGUUGAAGUCAGUGUGUUUUAACACUCUGAAGUCAAUAUAUAAUCAGGUUGUGUUUAACACUCUGAAUGUGUUUUAACAGUUCUUUUGCAUUUUAACAUUCUUGACGCUGUGUUUUAACAGCAAGCAGAUUGCUGGCCAUUGUGUUUUAAGAGCAACAUGCAGAUUUCUUGACGCUGUGUUUUAACAGCA
rnacentral:lncRNA from 1 species